rnacentral:lncRNA from 1 species
GAGUCACGGCGGCCCUGCAAGCGGUUGGCCUUAUCUCCGGACUUCGCUGCUCCCGAAAGCCCUCAGCCCGCCUGCCAGGCUACACCUAACUUGCGCCAAGUUCCUCCAGCAGUUCUGGAAAUACUCCCAGGGGCCCAUCGGCUUGGGGUCCCAGGGAAGGAGGGAGGUCUCCUUCCUGGCUGGCUGGAGCAGUUCCAGAAAGCCCGAGCUUGUGGGCCCCUGGCGGCACGGUGCCUAUCUUUCCACCGUUAGCUAAAUUUUCCUUGGGGGUAAGGAUUGUUUCUCCAGAUCUGUCUCAAAAUGCACAUUCCCCAGGGGUGGAGUGCCACCCGACGCUUUGAAGAGGAAACCAGAAGACUGGAGAACUGGGGCGGAUAGAUCUUAGGAGCCAAGAUGGGGAGAGGGGCUGAUGGGGCCGCAGGGAUUUGGCAGCCGCCUAAGCUCCCUCAGGCCCCGCCUGCACCUUUCCCAGCCCCCAGGACUCUAGGGGAAGUGGUGGGUGGGGGAGGGGGAAACAGAGCUGACAGAUUCUGUAAACAGAGCCGGUUUGGGCCUCGGCCAAGGACGGGGUGUCCUGGCCCAGCCUGGGUGUGAGGCCCAUCCGCGGCUCUCCAGGACACCCCGCCCUGCCCGGCUGCCCCGGGGGUGCCCGGCCCAGAGCCAGCUGUAGCCAGGAUGUGUCUGACUUGGGAUGUGGCCAAUUCCCUAGUGGGGAAUGUGCCUGGGAUUGGGGCGAGGGGUGGGGGUAGCAAAGGAGGGAGCUUCUAAGAACUGUCAUUGAUCAUUCAUUCACCCAGUGCCCGGCUCAGCGAAGAGGGCAGCCUCUGGUCCCCGCCUGUGGGAGGUGCCGGUGCUGGAUUGUCGCCCCACCCCCGUCUCCAUCUCCAAUCCUGUCUCUUGCUCUUCUGCUGCCUGAGGCAGAGUCCCCGCGGGGUAGGGAAGCUGAGAGUGGGGCCUCAGGUUCCGAGAGCUCUUCAUUGGCCAGGCCUGUCCCCUUGGCUUGUUGCCAAAUGUGGUGUUCCAUGGCCUCACGAUGGCAAUUCAGAGAUGCAGGAAUGCCCUCAAAAAGGGGAUGAGGGAGGACAGGCAUCCAGGGAUACUCAAGGACACUGUUAGAAGCAGGAGCUGUGGUUAGGAGGUGGGGAGAGGACACGGGUGGCCCCGGGACACUGGCACCCCAGCAGGUGGAGGCAGCUGUGGGCUAUGCCUUUUAAGAUAUGGAGAGGAGUUCCUUUGGGAGGAGAGGAGAUGGGUUGGCUGAGACUCGUAGGCUGGGGCCAGAGUGCCAGCUACAGAUUCUGGACUUUAUUGUAGGGGUGAGCAUUUCCCAAAAUGUGCUCCUGAGUGAUCGUGGGUGGGGUGAACAAAAAAGGGUCCUGGGGGCAAAUGUAUUUGGCAAACACUCUUCAAGAAAGCCUGCAAUCCCAGCAUUUUGGGAGGCCGAGGCGGGAGGAUUACUUGAGCCCAAGAGUUUGAGACCAGCCUGGGCAACAUGGUGAAACCCA